AGUUCACCGGUGAUUUCAUUUGGAGCAACUCCCAAUUUGAUCGCAGGACAAAGAUCUGGAGAAGAAAGAAAUAUAAGUUAGUAGGAGUAAAAAUAUAUUCAACACAAAAUUACUUAAAGCUUGAAGAAUCAACAAGAUAUAUCAAAAAACGAUAAAACAUAACACUAUGUUCCUCAUCGAUAAAUAUUUAUAAGGUGUUAUAAAUUUGAAAUUUUUAAAACCUCAUGAGAAAAGCUUCGUCUUCUUUCCCAGAAAUUGAUCGAUUAUGAGAAAAAUUACAGAAAGUGACGAAAAUCACCAUAUAUUAUCCUCUCACCUUUGUUACGUGUUAGUGGUAAGAAGUCGUUUUGUUCUGUUCGUUUGAGGUUGAAGUCUUCGUCAAAUCUCACCAAACGUCAGCCUCAUCAAAUCUCGUCGGAGAAUUCGUCGGCGUCGUCAAAUCUCGCCGGAGAACUCGCCGGUGUCGUCAAAUCUCGCCGGAAAACUCGUCAGAAUCAUCGAAUCUCGCCGGAUUUGAUCACCGAAGAGCAUUUGAUAGAUUGUUAUUAGUGGAUCUGAGAUU
rnacentral:lncRNA from 1 species